rnacentral:lncRNA from 1 species
GCAACACCAUAAAAUAACAAACAUGGGUAAUACUAAAGCUUUGAAUUUUAUUUCUUAUUGAUAAACUUCUUACAACAAUUACAACAUAGGUGUCUACAAAAGAAAAGGACAGAAGAUAAAUUGGCUAAAAGGUCAAUCCUUGGCUGAUGAAGCUUUGGCACUCGAUAUUUGUCCAGCUGAAGUCAUUAAUGCCUUCUCAUCUACCAAACUUGUAGUGGGUGUUAGAUGUGUAACUUGAAAAGCCAAUUCAGGAAAAAACCUCCUAACUAGCCUUCGACAUUCCUCAAAGCCAAGGUCAAUUGAUUGGAUCGAUACAUCACCAAUUACGACGAUCGUAUCAC